rnacentral:sRNA from 1 species
GGGAGGUAAAUUUCUUCUAAAGCUAAAUACCGGCCAGAGACCGAUAGCGCACAAGUAGAGUGAUCGAAAGAUGAAAAGCACUUUGGAAAGAGAGUCAAAUAGCACGUGAAAUUGUUGAAAGGGAAGCGCUUGCAGCCAGACGUGCCUGCAGAAGCUCAGCCGGAGGGGCUUUGGCUCCCCCGGUGCACUCUUCUGCGGGCAGGCCAGCAUCAGUUUGGGCGGCUGGAGAAUGGCCUCUGUCACGUAUCUCCUAUGCCUCUCAAGAGGGGGAUGGCCUUAUAGGGGAGGCGGAGUGCAGCCAUCCUGGACUGAGGCGUCCCGCGCUGCCGUUUGGCAGCUAGGAUGCUGGCAUAAUGGCUGCAAGCGGCCCGUCUUGAAACACGGAC